UACAGAGGUGGCAAGCGUUGUUCGGAAUUACUGGGCGUAAAGGGCGCGUAGGCGGUUCGUCAAGUCCUGUGUGAAAUCCCCCGGCUCAACUGGGGAACUGCACAGGAAACUAGCGGGCUUGAGUUCGGGAGAGGGAAGCGGAAUUCCGGGUGCAGUGGUGAAAUGCGUAGAGAUCCGGAGGAACACCAGUGGCGAAGGCGGCUCGCUGGACCUGACCUGACGCUGAGGCGCGAAGGCGUGGGGAGCGAACGGG
rnacentral:rRNA from 1 species